GUGAUUGUGAUAGACCCGGGAAACCUGGUCUGACACCCUUUUAAACGGCAGUUGGAGGAGGCUAAGGAAGUAAAAAAGUUGAAGUUGCCAGCUAACUAUGCAACCCCUUUUGUUCUCUGGUGUCAGCCCCCCAGAACCUCUUCUUUGAGAAACUUAUGCAGUUCCUGGCCAAGGAGGUACCUACUGCCAGCGACUACUACCAAGAACAAGCAGCUUCCAAAACUGGAUGGUGGGCAGAGUUAUUUUUAUCUACUCACUGUUAUCUCCUUUAUUUUAUGAGCAGCUCCCUGUGUUUCCUUGUGGUUUGUUUCACAGGAUUCAGUGAACAUGUUCCAAGCAGCAGAGGGUCCUGGCAGUUCGACCCUGUGGGGAAUUCCCAGACUGACAUGGGGCCUCAGUAAAGGGAGUUUUUGAGAUAAGGUGGGGGUAUAGAGAAUGUACUUUGGGACAGCACCAGAAUGAAAAGAAAGUAAACCCAGGCA
rnacentral:lncRNA from 1 species